CAGUAGCCGCGGGAAUACGGAGGGGGCUAGCGUUGUUCGGAAUUACUGGGCGUAAAGCGCACGUAGGCGGCUUUGUUAGUCAGAGGUGAAAGCCCGGGGCUCAACCCCGGAAUUGCCUUUGAGACUGCAUCGCUUGAAUCCAGGAGAGGUGAGUGGAAUUCCGAGUGUAGAGGUGAAAUUCGUAGAUAUUCGGAAGAACACCAGUGGCGAAGGCGGCUCACUGGACUGGUAUUGACGCUGAGGUGCGAAAGCGUGGGGAGCAAACAGGAUUAGAUACCCCUGUAGUCCCUGUCUCUUAUAC
rnacentral:rRNA from 1 species